CGAAACUUCAUCGUAUAAAUUUAAGUAAAUUGGUAUUAAUUUACUGUUUUCUGUUUCUUCUUGAUUUUUGGUAAGCACUUCAAUUAACCUUCCUGCUAAAAAUAAUAGUAUUCUCUGCGGUACUUCACAUGUCAGUGACAGUAUCGUUGCAACUGAAGCAGUGUAUUGGUUGUUAAUCUAAGAGCGUAUUAUGUUUUUCGAUUAAAAAUUUACUUUGCACCUCCACUUUGUUUCACAAGAUUUUUUCAUACGCUUGCAAACGUUUAACAGACAAUCAUCAACAUGAGUUCUACUGGCGAUUCAUGCUGCAGAAAUAUUAAGUCAAAUGAAAAAGACAAGAAAGCUGGCGCUCAAAACAAAAAUUCAUGUGGUUGCAAAUCCAACGACAUGUCCUCCUCUGGCAAAAAGGAGAGUGAUGGAUGUGCGUGCAAGACUUCCGGACCGUGUGGUAAAAAAUCGUAGACGAAACGACAUGCUCAUAAACUAAUAAAACCUUUCAAAGAUUUA